AACGAACGCUGGCGGCAGGCCUAACACAUGCAAGUCGAGCGAGACCUUCGGGUCUAGCGGCGGACGGGUGAGUAACGCGUGGGAACGUGCCCUUUUCUACGGAAUAGCCUCGGGAAACUGAGCGUAAUACCGUAUACGCCCUUUGGGGGAAAGAUUUAUCGGAGAAGGAUCGGCCCGCGUUGGAUUAGGUAGUUGGUGGGGUAAUGGCCUACCAAGCCUACGAUCCAUAGCUGGUUUGAGAGGAUGAUCAGCCACACCGGGACUGAGACACGGCCCAGACUCCUACGGGAGGCAGCAGUGGGGAAUCUUAGACAAUGGGGGCAACCCUGAUCUAGCCAUGCCGCGUGAGUGAUGAAGGCCUUAGGGUUGUAAAGCUCUUUCAGCUGGGAAGAUAAUGACGGUACCAGCAGAAGAAGCCCCGGCUAACUCCGUG
rnacentral:rRNA from 1 species